ACUCCUACGGGAGGCAGCAGUAGGGAAUCUUCCACAAUGGACGAAAGUCUGAUGGAGCAACGCCGCGUGAGUGAAGAAGGGUUUCGGCUCGUAAAAACUCUGUUGUUAAAGAAGAACAUAUCUGAGAGUAACUGUUCAGGUAUUGACGGUAUUUAACCAGAAAGCCACGGCUAACUACGUGCCAGCAGCCGCGGUAAUACGUAGGUGGCAAGCGUUGUCCGGAUUUAUUGGGGCGUAAAGCGAGCGCAGGCGGUUUUUAAGUCUGAUGUGAAAGCCUUCGGUCUCAACCGAAGAAGGUGCAUCGGAAACUAGGGAAACUUAGAGUGCAGAAGAGGACAGUGGAACUCCAUGUGUAGCGGUGAAAUGCGUAGAUAUAUGGAAG
rnacentral:rRNA from 1 species